AACAAGGUUUCCGUAGGUGAACCUGCGGAAGGAUCAUUGUUGAGAUCACAUAAUAAUUGAUCGAGUUAAUCCAGAGGAUCAGUUUACUUCGGUCACCCAUGGGCGCUUGCUAUUUGCGGUGACCUAGAUUUGCCAUGGAGCCUCCUUGGGAGCUUUCUUGCCGGCGAUCUUAACCCUUGCCCGGCGCAGUUUUGCGCCAAGUCAUAAGACACAUAAUUGGCGAAGGAGGGGGCGGCAUGUGGCCUUGACCCUACAUUCACUCCCCCCUCUCAAAUUAUUUUUUUGAACAACUCUCAGCAACGGAUAUCUCGGCUCUUGCAUCGAUGAAGAACGCAGCGAAAUGCGAUAAGUGGUGUGAAUUGCAGGAUCCCGUGAACCAUCGAGUCUUUGAACGCAAGUUGCGCCCAAGGCCAUCAGGCCAAGGGCACGCCUGCCUGGGCAUUGCGAGUCAUAUCUCUCCCUUAAUGAGGCUGUACAUGCAUACUGUUCAGCCGGUGCGGAUGUGAGUUUGGCCCCUUGUUCUUCGGUGCUGGGGGUCUAAGAGCUGCAGGGGCUUUUGAUGGUCCUAAAUUCGGCAAGAGGUGGACGAAUUACAACAAAACUGUUGUGCGAAUGCUCCAGGUUGUCGUAUUAGAUGGGCCAGCAUAAUCUAAAGACCCUUGUGAACCCCACUGGAGGCACAUCAACCCGUGAUCAGUUGAUGGCCAUUUGGUUGCGACCCCAGGUCAGGUGAGGCAAC
rnacentral:rRNA from 1 species